rnacentral:rRNA from 1 species
GACGAACGCUGGCGGCGUGCUUAACACAUGCAAGUCGAGCGAUGAAGUUCCUUCGGGAAUGGAUUAGCGGCGGACGGGUGAGUAACACGUGGGUAACCUGCCUCAUAGAGGGGAAUAGCCUUUCGAAAGGAAGAUUAAUACCGCAUAAGAUUGUAGUAUCGCAUGAUACAGCAAUUAAAGGAGUAAUCCGCUAUGAGGUGGACCCGCGUCGCAUUAGCUAGUUGGUGAGGUAACGGCUCACCAAGGCGACGAUGCGUAGCCGACCUGAGAGGGUGAUCGGCCACAUUGGGACUGAGACACGGCCCAGAUUCCUACGGGAGGCAGCAGUGGGGAAUAUUGCACAAUGGGGGAAACCCUGAUGCAGCAACGCCGCGUGAGUGAUGACGGUCUUCGGAUUGUAAAGCUCUGUCUUCAGGGACGAUAAUGACGGUACCUGAGGAGGAAGCCACGGCUAACUACGUGCCAGCCGCCGCGGUAA